CCAUAUAUCCCAUAUAUCCCAUAUAUCCCAUAUAUCCCAUCUAUCCCCUAUAUCCCAUCUAUCCCAUGAUGUCUCUCCCCCAUUCCCAGCAUGGCAGUGGGGGUGGAGGACGCCACAUCCUCGGCCAGCAUCACCCUGCGGGUGCAGCCCCACGUCACCAUCGGCACCCUCAAGGAGCAGGUGUUCCGCGAGUACGGCUUUCCCCCUUCAGCACAGCGCUGGAUCAUCGGGCAGAGCCUGUGCCGGGACGGGCGCAGCCUGGCCUCCUACGGCAUCCGCCGCGACGGCGACCCCGCCUUCCUCUUCCUCCUCUCGGCGCGGGCGGCACUGGAACCGGCACCGGGAGCGGGAACGGCUGCGGGAGCGGCGGCGGGAGCGGCCCCGGGAGCGGCCCCGGCCCCGGCGGGCCCCGAGCGGCAGCGGGAGCUGCAGGCACAGGAGCUGCUGCGCGCCGCGGGGCUGCACGGGGACGGGGACGGACACGGGGACGGAGCACCUGGGGCAGGCCGUGUCCCCGAGGAGCCCCCGGAGCGGAUGGACUUUGGGGACAUCCGGGAUCACCUGGACUCGCUGCAGCUCUGGGACAGCGCCGGGGCCCCGCCCACGGGCCCUGAGCCCCGCCCACCCUCACCUG
rnacentral:lncRNA from 1 species